UACAAAAAGUGUACUACGCUCUCUGACUAGGUCUUGCGCACUUGUAUCAUCUGUAGUGUCCAUGUUACAACUGGAUUAUAUUGUUAAGUCUUGUAAUGGACAAGACAUAAAUUUAAUGUCAAUUUAAUCAAUAACAGCAGAAAAAGUAAAAAACAAUAGCAAAUAAUAAUGAACAUAGUAAUGGUGAUGAUGAAUGCGUGAAAUCAACUACUUGUAAGGCACAAAAUCUGCCACAGCCGAGUGAAUUUUUCACUCAAAAUUCAUAAAUGACUACUUGUUUAAUAUAGGGAAAAUAAUAAUAAUAAUAAUAAGAAGAAGAAGCACAUAAAUCCCUAAUUUUUCACUCAAAAUUCAUAAAUGACUACUUUGUUUUCUUCUUUCCAUGGGCGGCACCUACCCAUUUUCCUUCUUCAAUGGCUAGCCACCCACCGUCUUUGAAUUCAAAGAUGGUUGCUCAACCACCCACCAUUUUGACACUUUUUUUUUAAUCAAUUUUCAACAUCAAUUUUCUUGGUAACCAAAUCCAAGAGAAAAAUUAGAGAGUCGAAAGAGAGAAAGAUGCGAUUAGCAGACGAGAGAAGAUGAGAGAAAAAAUUUCGUGUAGCCCAUACAAACGGAAACCGAACUCAACCAAUUAGAUAAUUUAGUUUGAUUUUAAUUCCAAACUUAGCCGUGAUUAAGUAAUUAAUUUGUUAGCUCUAGUUCUAACAAUAAGUGAAGAAGAGGAUCUUGUUGGAUGCCCGAAAUGCUAUAACAGAGUAAUGUUAGCUUUGUAUGGGCCACAUGUAAACUUUUAAGAGACUAUAUUUAAUAAA
rnacentral:lncRNA from 1 species